rnacentral:rRNA from 1 species
GCCUGAUCCAGCCAUGCCGCGUGCAGGAUGAAGGCCCUCGGGUUGUAAACUGCUUUUGUACGGAACGAAAAGCCUCUUUCUAAUAAAGAGGGGUGAUGACGGUACCGUAAGAAUAAGCACCGGCUAACUACGUGCCAGCAGCCGCGA